GUGGUGACCUCCUGACCCAUGAUUGAUGUCAUUCACUACUCCUUUACAACCUGAAGCACAAUCAGAUUCUAAACAUCCAGGUCCUCAGCUAAUGACAUGGUCCGUUUGCAUCAGCGCGUUGAAAUUAGCCCCAAUAAGAUCAAACGGCCCAAUUGGCUGCAGUUGAAAGUCCUCUGAAAAAAAAAAGCAAAAAACAUACAACCAGAGACGCAUGUGGAAAUUGUGUUUGUUGUUUCCAUCUUUCACUAGUCUUCGGUGCCGGGUUGAGUUGAUUAGCCACUUCAGUCCAGUGCUUCUCUACCUGCCAAUUCACGGGAAAGUAAAACUCUUUUGCGAAAAUAUUUGGACCAAGAGAAGACAGCCCACGUUCAUCUCUCUUUCAGGGAGAUGAUAUUUGGCAGCGACCAGCGCAUCGCCCAGGUCGCUAGAGCGACCCAGCCUGCCUUGACGCCAAGUCUCCCCGCUGGUCUACGGCCCGCAGUCCACGCACCGCGCAUCCGUUGUGUUCAGAUCGAGCGUUCAUGGCAUUGUCGCCUUCCCGUCUUCAGUUCUUCCCCUUCUUGCACGGGACAUUCAGAAACUCCAACCACUGUCCACACAUGUCACAUGACAAUGCAUGCAUGGCGCGUGUCGAAACCUCCAUGCGGCACGUCUGCGUCGGCACCACACGGCAAAGAGGGAGCACAACUGUCGCACACCCGCGGGUUCCCGGCACCCACCUCUAGGCCAUUGUUCCAGCGACCGCCCUACCUCGUCGGUCGCCGCCUCUCCCCACAUAUACUUGCGCUCUCCCUGCCCACCUGAGCCACACCUGCCUGAGACCACAGUUCACCCACCGAUCACCUGAAGAUCCCAUAGUACUACUUGGCAAUCUUUGCUAGGCAUUUGGCAUCGAUGGCUCCUGCCGGGACCAGGGGCGCCCGCGCGGCUGCGCCGGCGGCGGUGCUCCUCGUGGCGGCGCUGCUGGUGGCGCUGGCGCUGGCGCCGCGGGGCACGAGCGCGGCGCUGACGUGCUCCACGGUGUACAACGAGCUGAUGCCGUGCCUCGGGUACGUGCAGUCGGGCGGGGCGGUGCCGCGGGCGUGCUGCUCGGGGAUCAAGACGCUCGUGUCCAGGGCGCGCGCCACGCCCGACCGCCGCGCCGCCUGCGCCUGCCUCAAGACCGUGGCCGCCGCCGCGGCGGGCGGGCCGUACCUCGGCCGCGCCGCGGGGCUGCCCGGCAGGUGCGGCGUCCAGCCGCCCUUCAAGAUCGACCCCAACGUCAACUGCAACGCGGUAUAAAUUGGGCACGCAGCUCUACAGCGCGCGGAACACGGCCGUGAUGCGAUGCCACAAGAUAUACCCUUGUGGAACGUUCUACUGUACGUUUGUACGCACCCCUACAGAUGUACUAUACAUGAGUCGACGGCGAAUAAUAGCGCCAUAUGUUCUCCAAUUAUGUGGUGUUCUGUAAACCAGUGUGUGAUGAGGGAGACAUACGCACUCCCUCCUAUGAAUAAUCGUUGGAUUUGUGAGUGUGAUCGCCCGAUUAUCUCAACAGUAAUUUUACUUCUACAUUGUUUUACGAGAUGCAGCACAGUGUCACUUUGUAGAAUUACAAUCAUGCGGUACGGCUAAAUGCCGUGAACAGUAGAGGAUGGUGCACUAUGAAAGUAUGAAAUAAGCGUGCAUGGCCAGAGCAUAGGCUGGGCAAAUUGGGUUAACCAAAUUGGAUCGAUGGUUGAUUUAUAGGUUUCAUCGUGAAGCUAAUUGUUACUUCGCAAUUACUACCCUCGUCUUGGUUUACAGGUCCCCUUUAUAGUUUGUAGUUUGUGUCAAUUUUUGACCAAAGAUUUAACUAACAAAAUGUUAAUGCAUGUUAACAAAAAUUAUAUUGU
rnacentral:rRNA from 1 species